GAGGCCAAGCCUCAUCAAGACAUAAAUUGACUUCAUAUAGUACGAGUCAAUUUAAUAACCCCUUUAGUUAUUGGAA
rnacentral:sRNA from 1 species